rnacentral:pre_miRNA from 1 species
AGUGGGAUAACUGGGUCAAAUGGUGGUUCCAUUCCAGGUUUUCUGAAGAAUUUCUAGACUUCUUUCUAGAGUGGUUUCACUAAUUUGCAUUCCCAGCAGCAAU